AACAGGAAGUGUGUCUGUCUCAGGAGGGUAACAAGAAAAGUGUGUCCUGCACAAGAGAGACACAGGAAGUGUGUCAUUCACAGAGGAGAAACAAAGAGAUGCAGGAAAUGUGUCCUGCACAGCAGAAAAACAGGAAGU